rnacentral:ncRNA from 1 species
CACGAUAAUAGCAAACCUAUCGAAAGGUAGGGACGCAAAGCUAUAGGGCCUUCUCUAGGGAUGGUAGCCUGGCCGCCGAAA